GUUCACCCCCACACUAGCCUGGAAAGGGUUAAUGUGGCUCAGGAGGGGCUAAGUAACCUGAUAACCACACCUGAAGGAGGAUUAGUCUUGAUAAACAAUCCCUGAUAGAGGAUGGAGCCCAGAUGAACAGGAGCAGACAGGGCUGAUAUAAGGCCAAGUAGUGAGAACAGGCGGGUGUUGUAGGUAGGAGCUUUGCAGUUGCUUCCUAGAGAGAAAGGGAAUUGGGUAGGGUAUUAGGGAGGCAAUUUGCAGUUAUUCUUUGGGGGAAGACGCAGGUGGAUAGGAAGAAACCUGAGAGGAGUAUAAGCCCCGGGAGCCUAUCCUGGCAGAAGGUGUUUACCCAGAGGAGGUGUAGGGAAGUGAGCCUGUAGAAGGCACAGUAGGAAGAAGCCCAGGGAAAGAGAAGUGACAGUUGAGACUGUGUAGACCUUGGCUACUGCUGAUAGGGUCCCUGGGCUUGGAGCUGGAGUAGUAAGUAGGCCUAGGUUCCCCUCCUGGUCCCUAAAGAAGUGGCACAGAAUAGGAAUUGCCACAGAGGACUACCUGGGAUGGUGGAUGGAUAGUUGGUCUUGAGAAACUAAAUACCCUGGCAAGGGGAAACCAUAAUGACCUAGCUGGAGGCCUAAGCCAUGAAGAGAGGGCACCCAAGUCACAAAAGGGAAGCACUGCAACUCCUGGAGUGUGAGAGGUGCUACAACACAAACAAGAAACUGGAAGUGGAGUCAGACUAGGCAGAGCUAUUUGCCAGAUGCUGCUACCAAGAGACACCCCAGCUAUUCUUCUUCCAGACUUUGUCUUUGGCUGACAUGAGUUGAACAACUUGUGGAGUAAGGUACUACACUCCAGGGUCUUCCUGUAUAUGGCGUGUGUGCUGGAAAGUGGGUAAUGAAGUCUUACAGUGACAUAUGAUCAUGUCACCUGAACUGGAAUCCAUCCUUAACCUGGUGCUUUUCCAUUGAGAAGAGUGGGGGACCCAGAGGGACAAAGGAUUCCCACCUUUUGCAAAAGAUAUAUAAGUGGGUGGAACAGAGAAAAGGGAGAGCCAUCAUGAUAGCUACCACCUGAGCUGGAACCAGUGGAAAGGAUUGUGCCCAGACUAGGAAGGUGUCCAGUCUGUGAAAAAGACUUAUUGAAA